rnacentral:rRNA from 1 species
CAGCCGCCACGGUAAUACGUAGGUGGCAAGCGUUGUCCGGAAUCAUUGGGCGUAAAGCGCGCGCAGGUGGUUCCUUAAGUCUGAUGUGAAAGCCCACGGCUCAACCGUGGAGGGUCAUUGGAAACUGGGGGACUUGAGUGCAGAAGAGGGAAGUGGAAUUCCAAGUGUAGCGGUGAAAUGCGUAGAUAUUUGGAGGAACACCAGUGGCGAAGGCGACUUUCUGGUCUGUAACUGACACUGAGGCGCGAAAGCGUGGGGAGCAAACAGGAUUAGAUACCCCAGUAGUCCCUGUCUCUUAUAC